rnacentral:rRNA from 1 species
ACUCCUACGGGAGGCAGCAGUGGGGAAUCUUGCGCAAUGCGCGACAGCGUGACGCAGCAACACCGCGUGGGGAAGAAGGCCUUCGGGUUGUAAACCCCUUUCAGAAGUGACGAAGGCCGGCCGGUGAAUAGCCGUGCCGGUUGACGGUAGCUUCACAAGAAGCCCGCCGCUAACUACGUGCCAGCAGCCGCGGUAAUACGUAGGGGCGAAGCGUUGUCCGGAAUCAUUGGGCGUAAAGCGCGCGUAGGCGGCCCGAUCAAGUCUAGCUGUGAAGUACAACGGCUCAACCGUUGAAAGCCGGUGGAUACUGUCGGGCUAGAGUCCGGAAGAGGCAAGUGGAAUUCCUGGUGUAGCGGUGGAAUGCGCAGAUAUCAGGAGGAACACCUAUAGCGAAGGCAGCUUGCUGGGACGGUACUGACGCUAAGGCGCGAAAGCGUGGGGAGCGAACAGGAUUAGAUACCCUGGUAGGCUC